UAGGGAAUCUUCGGCAAUGGGGGCAACCCUGACCGAGCAACGCCGCGUGAGUGAAGAAGGUUUUCGGAUCGUAAAGCUCUGUUGUAAGAGAAGAACGUGUGUGAGAGUGGAAAGUUCACACAGUGACGGUAACUUACCAGAAAGGGACGGCUAACUACGUGCCAGCAGCCGCGGUAAUACGUAGGUCCCGAGCGUUGUCCGGAUUUAUUGGGCGUAAAGCGAGCGCAGGCGGUUUAAUAAGUCUGAAGUUAAAGGCAGUGGCUUAACCAUUGUUCGCUUUGGAAACUGUUAAACUUGAGUGCAGAAGGGGAGAGUGGAAUUCCAUGUGUAGCGGUGAAAUACGUAGAUAUAUGGAGGAACACCGGUGGCGAAAGCGGCUAUCUGGUCUGUAACUGACGCUGAGGCUCGAAAGCGUGGGGAGCAAACAGG
rnacentral:rRNA from 1 species